CCUACGGGUGGCAGCAGUGAGGAAUAUUGGUCAAUGGCCGGAAGGCUGAACCAGCCACGCCGCGUGAAGGACGAAGGUGCCAAGCAUUGUAAACUUCUUUUGUCAAGGGACAAAAUCAGGCUCUAGAGCCUGACCGAGGGUACUUGAAGAAAAAGCAUCGGCUAACUCCGUGCCAGCAGCCGCGGUAAUACCGGGGAUGCGAGCGUUAUCCGGAUUUAUUGGGGUGAAAGGGUGCGUAGGCGGACGUUGAAGUCAGCGGUAAAAGCCCGGGGCUCAACCCCGGCGAGCCGUUGAAACUGGCUGUCUUGAGAUGUGGAGAGGUAUGCGGAAUGCGCAGUGUAGCGGUGAAAUGCUUAGAUAUUGCGCAGAACACCGAGUGCGAAGGCAGCAUACCGGCGGCGAUCUGACGCUGAGGCACGAAAGCGUGGGUAUCGAACAGGAUUAGAUACCCUGGUAGUC
rnacentral:rRNA from 1 species